GCGAAGCGCCCUCCGGCGACCGAUGCGGCCGCCUCCAUCCCGGGCGCCGACGACGUGUUUCCGCUGGCGUCCAUGCCCGCUGACUUGGUCGAGCUCGUUGGCUGGCUAGUGCUUGCGGACGACGAUCUGCGAGGCUAUGUCCGCUUCCGCUCCGUGUGUACGCACGUGCGGUCCAGCACGCCAUGCCCGCGCGCAAAUGGCAUCGCCGUCGCGCGCUUCCACCCACGCCGGUGGACGAUGCUGCCCGAGGGCCACGAAUUCCACCUUGAAGAUGGCCGGAUGCGUUUCCUCAACCUUGACACCGGAGCAUUCGUCCGCCGCCGGCUCCCUCUUCUCGACGACCACCGCGUCCUCUGCCCGGUCGACGGCCUCCUCCUCCUGCAGCGGAGCCGGCAACACGAUAAUGAAAACGGCGAUGAUGUUUGCCUACUUCACCCCUUCACUGGGACCGUUGCCAAGUUCCCGCCAAUCACGUAUGUCACGAUGAGCUUGGGAUCAAUCCAUUGGAGUUCCCGCAUGAACCGUCCUUACUUGUCGCCAGGCAGGGUGACCGCUUCCUUGAGCAUUGGUGCUGGCAGAGUUCCCAUGCUCAUGAUCGUGCUUCUAGAUCUGCGGCGCAUACUAUUUGCUACCACCAAGGACAAGCAAUGGAGUUUCUCGGCCUGGAGCUUCUCCCCAGAUAACAGCAUCAUAUCAUCCCAAGGAAAAUUUUACAUGCUCCACAAGCCCACGCCAAGCACAGAUGAACUAUGGAUUUUUCAGAUCGACCCGCCUCGCCACGAGAAGACGUCGGGAUUAACUUCAUCUUCGUUUUCGUUUCAGCCACCAAAGGUGAUCACCAUAUUAUGUCCCAAGGCCAAGAUCCGCAGCCCUUUUGAACUGGUAGAAUGUGACUCAAAGAUCUUGCUCGUCGGUUCCAGCAGCGAUCACUCCAAGCGCAUGCUGGUGUACAGCAUAGCGGAUCUCAUCCAUGGAAGACUUGUCCCAUUAAAAAGCAUCGGGGGCAAUACUCUCUUGAUUGAUAUUGCAAGCAGUGAAAGUGUCAUCAGAAGGAGCUUGAGUGUCGGUUUUAUGGCCGUUCCUACCAUUACAGGUGACACCAUUGUACGCAGGGAUCUUACACGUUAUAGAUAUCUUGAACAGUAUCACCUCGGUAAUGUCACUUGGUCAUCAAGAGCGGUGGUGUGCACGAAACAUAAUGCGUACUGGCGUUGCACCUGUGGCCUCAUUAACCAUAUCUACGGCGUCUGC
rnacentral:rRNA from 1 species